UAGAAUGCAAAACCGAGUUUACCUUGUCAUAGAUGAAUAACGAUAGUUCAGUGGGUGAAAUGGAGAUACAGAGAAGUUCAAAACCCCAUCCACGCCUCCUUUCUGUGCAAAUCUCACAAUUCGAAACUCCCGCCAUAAAACGGGCGAAUCCAAAAGAAGCUCAGAGUUUACGCAAACUCUGAAGUGGUGCCUUAUUUGGCUCUGGCCUGUACAUUUGUCACGCCCCAAAAUUUACAUACAGACCAGCCCACUGGUUCGCUGGCCCAAGAACAUGAAUGGAGGUUGUGAAGAUGUCAGACACUAGUUUAGCUAGCCUACUGUUGGGUUUACUUCUACAAGAAUUACAAAGCAGGCAGUUUCUCUAUCGAAAAUGAGCCAGAGAGGUAAAUGCAGUGUUCCAGGCUGCACGGAGAAAGGGGAAGUUUGUCACAGUCUUCCCAAGGAUCCGAAGACUCGGCAGGCAUGGAUAAUGUUUGUCUAUCAGAAGAUCCCUGCAAAGUUCGACGCUCAGCUGUUCAUUUGCUCUAAACAUUUUACCGAAGACAGCUUUCAAAAUCUUGGACAGUUUAAAGCAGGAUUUGCCAAACUUCUUUUACUGAAACGAGGGGCUGUUCCGACCGUAAGGUCAUCACAACCGCAAGCUAGCACAUCACAAGAACAACAAGAACAACCACGAACAAAAGUUGCAGCAUGCCAAACAGAUCCUCCUUGUGUGGCAUCUCGCGGGACGCAGCUUUCUUUUACUACAUUGAGACCUCACCAACGAAGCAAAGGCAUACAGGCAACGCC